rnacentral:rRNA from 1 species
GGUAACCUACCCUGUACACACGGAUAACAUACCGAAAGGUAUGCUAAUACGGGAUAAUAUAUUUGAGAGGCAUCUCUUAAAUAUCAAAGGUGAGCCAGUACAGGAUGGACCCGCGUCUGAUUAGCUAGUUGGUAAGGUAACGGCUUACCAAGGCAACGAUCAGUAGCCGACCUGAGAGGGUGAUCGGCCACAUUGGGACUGAGACACGGUCCAAACUCCUACGGGAGGCAGCAGUGGGGAAUAUUGCACAAUGGGCGAAAGCCUGAUGCAGCAACGCCGCGUGAGUGAUGAAGGCCUUCGGGUCGUAAAACUCUGUCCUCAAGGAAGAUAAUGACGGUACUUGAGGAGGAAGCCCCGGCUAACUACGUGCCAGCAGCCGCGGUAAUACGUAGGGGGCUAGCGUUAUCCGGAUUUACUGGGCGUAAAGGGUGCGUAGGCGGUCUUUCAAGUCAGGAGUGAAAGGCUACGGCUCAACCGUAGUAAGCUCUUGAAACUGGGAGACUUGAGUGCAGGAGAGGAGAGUGGAAUUCCUAGUGUAGCGGUGAAAUGCGUAGAUAUUAGGAGGAACACCAGUUGCGAAGGCGGCUCUCUGGACUGUAACUGACGCUGUGGCACGAAAGCGUGGGGAGCAAACAGGAUUAGAUACCCUGGUAGUCCACGCUGUAAAC